AACUGACCGUACCGGCUUGUCAAAGCUUGAUCUCAUAAAAUUUCAGAAGCCAAGCAAAGCCGGGCCUGGUUAGUAGUUGGAUGGGAGACCACUGGGAAUUCCAGGUGUCACAGUGG
rnacentral:rRNA from 1 species